rnacentral:rRNA from 1 species
GACAGAGGUGCCGAGCGUUAGGCGGAAUCACUGGGCUUAAAGCGUGUGUAGGCGGAUCUGUAAGUACCUUGUGAAAUCCCACGGCUCAACCGUGGAACUGCUUGGUAUACUGCGGGUCUUGAGCCACCUAGGGGCAAGUGGAACAAACGGUGAGCGGUGAAUGACGUAGAUAUCGUUUGGAACGCCAAUGGUGAAAACAACUUGCUGGGGGUGUGCUGACGCUGAGACACGAAAGCCAGGGGAGCAAACGGG